UUUAGCGAAAGAACCCUUCCCCAUCUUGACAUAGUGAGAAUCUUGCCGAGAAGGGGGAGUGCCUUUGGGAAUUCACAUACAGGUGUGGCAUGGCGUUUUUCAGCUCGUGUCUUGAGAUGUUGGGUUAAGUCCCGCAACGAGCGCAACCCUUUUCCUUUUUUGCCAGCGGGUUAAGCCGGGAACUUUAAGGAGACUGCCGGUGACAAACCGGAGGAAGGUGGGGAGGACGUCAAGUCAUCAUGCCCCUUACGACCAGGGCUACACACGUGCUACAAUGGCAGGUACAAAGGGUUGCGACCCAGCGAAGCAAGCUAAUCUCAAAAAGCCAAUCGUAGUCCGGAUGGAGUCUGCAACUCGACUCCAUGAAGUCGGAAUCGCUAGUAAUCGCGGAUCAGAUUGCAAUAUCAUC
rnacentral:rRNA from 1 species